rnacentral:tRNA from 1 species
AGCCCGGUAGUCUAGCGGCCAAGGAUGCCGGCCUCUGGAGCCGGCGACAAGAGUUCGAAUCUCUUCCGGGCUA